rnacentral:lncRNA from 10 species
GAAUAACAUCUCUUCAGGCCACGUACCCCAUGGACCUCUCAUGAGAUCCUCUGAGCAAGUGGACUAUCUUUCCAGAGUCCAGGGAUUCCAGGUUGAAUACAAAGACUUCCCCAAAAACAACAAGAAUGAAUUUGUAUCUCUUAUCCAUUGCUCCUCUCAGCCGCCUCUGAUCAGCCAUAGUUAUUGGCAAGGAUGUUGAGUCCUGCUAUGAUAUGCUGCACUGAACACCUUAAAGUUGCUGUCUGAGUUGGACCAACAAAGUACAGAGAUGCCAAGAACAGGAAAUGGAUCAAUGUCUGUGUGUGGGAGGUGC